GAUGAACGCUGGCGGCGUGCCUAAUACAUGCAAGUCGAGCGAACAGACGAGGAGCUUGCUCCUUUGACGUUAGCGGCGGACGGGUGAGUAACACGUAGGUAACCUACCUAUAAGACUGGGAUAACUUCGGGAAACCGGAGCUAAUACCGGAUAAUAUUUCGAACCGCAUGGUUCGAUAGUGAAAGAUGGCUUUGCUAUCACUUAUAGAUGGACCUGCGCCGUAUUAGCUAGUUGGUAAGGUAACGGCUUACCAAGGCAACGAUACGUAGCCGACCUGAGAGGGUGAUCGGCCACACUGGAACUGAGACACGGUCCAGACUCCUACGGGAGGCAGCAGUAGGGAAUCUUCCGCAAGGGGCGAAAGCCUGACGGAGCAACGCCGCGUGAGUGAGGAAGGUCUUCUGAUCGUAAAACUCUGUUAUUAGGGAAGAACAAACGUGUAAGUAACUGUGCACGUCUUGACGGUACCUAAGCAGAAAGCCACGGCUAACUACGU
rnacentral:rRNA from 1 species